ensembl:snRNA U6 U6 spliceosomal RNA
GUGCUUGCUUCAGCAGCACAUAUACUAAAAUUGGACUGAUACAAAGAAGAUUAGCAUGACCCCUGCUCAAGGAUGACACGCAAGUUCAUAAAGCAUUCCAUUUUUUU